rnacentral:lncRNA from 1 species
UGAGGGUCAUAUAGCUGUCAUCAGAUUUCAAAAAGGAUUUUACUACCAAAAAGGCAAUAGGAAGAAAAGCAAGUGAGCUGGGUGUGGUGGCUCAUGCCUAUAAUCCCAGCACUUGGGAGGCCGAGGCGGGUGGAUCACCUGACGUCAGGAGUUCGAGACCAGCCUGGCCAACAUGGUGAAACCCCACCUCUACUAAAAAUACAAAAAUUAGCCAGGCAUGGUGGCACGAGCCUGUGUCUGCGACAGUGGUUCUCAAGUAGGGAUGAUUUUGCCCCCUAGGAACAUGUCUGGAGAAAUUGGGUAUGCUACUGGCAUUUAGUGGGCAGAGGCCAAGGAUGCUGCUAUGUAUCCUAUAAUGCACAGGGCAGGCCACACAGCAAAAAAGCACCCAGCCUCACAUGUCAGUACUAGUGAGGUUGAGAACCGCUGGUUGAGGUGUCCUGUCAAAUGAGGAAAUCUGUGCCCCACAGCCGCCUUGGGGAUUAAGGGAGGCAAUGGAUGAAGAACCCAGGACUGGGCCCUGCACACGCUCCACAGUUGCAUGGGAUUCUCCUCUCCUUAGGACUUUUUGGCCUGGGACAUGGUAGCUAGCGGGCAGAGGUGGAGUAGGCACAUAUUUUGGCUUUCAUGAGAGAACUUUCUGAAAUGAUCUUGAUGCUCCUGCCCCACCCAGCUCAUGGCACAGUUUCUCUAGAACAAUCCCAUGCUCAUUUAUCAACAAGGAAAACCCAGGCAUGGUGGCUCACACCUGCAAUCCCAGCACUUUGGGAAGCACUCACCAUCUCACCCCUCAGGCUCCAACAGGGUUCCACGUGACCAAUCCCCGAGGGGAGAGGACAGCGAAGCGAGCAUGAGCAGAGUCCCAAUCUCCAGGUCCCUUCUCCGGGGAAGCACUUUUGUCUUUAUUGGAAAUUUCCUCCCAUGUAACAUCUGACCUCUACCUUCUCUUCUACAGAUAAGCUCUGCUGUGAGUCCCAGCGGGCUGAGACACUGUGACUG